rnacentral:rRNA from 1 species
AACGAACGCUGGCGGCAGGCCUAACACAUGCAAGUCGAGCGGACCCUUCGGGGUUAGCGGCGGACGGGUGAGUAACGCGUGGGAAUAUGCCCUUCUCUACGGAAUAGUCCUGGGAAACUGGGGUUAAUACCGUAUACGCCCUUUGGGGGAAAGAUUUAUCGGGGAUGGAUUAGCCCGCGUUGGAUUAGGUAGUUGGUGGGGUAAUGGCCUACCAAGCCGACGAUCCAUAGCUGGUUUGAGAGGAUGAUCAGCCACACUGGGACUGAGACACGGCCCAGACUCCUACGGGAAGCAGCAGUGGGGAAUCUUAGACAAUGGGGGCAACCCUGAUCUAGCCAUGCCGCGUGAGUGAUGAAGGCCUUAGGGUUGUAAAGCUCUUUCAGCUGGGAAGAUAAUGACGGUACCAGCAGAAGAAGCCCCGGCUAACUCCGUG